rnacentral:rRNA from 1 species
AUGCUCACUGCGUACUUUGAAGCAAACAACUCACAUGAGAAAGCACGAGGCUUACUAUACAGAGAUUUUCCGGAACAUUAUACGUGGCAGAGUCAGGGGAAGUUUUGGCAACCAAGGAAGCGAGCCGCUGUGUUCCAGGUUGGAGGAUCGUCGCAGCACACCCGGCUGAAGGAGAACGAUACUAUCUUCGGGUCCUCCUAA